rnacentral:rRNA from 1 species
UGAGGAAUAUUGGUCAAUGGACGAGAGUCUGAACCAGCCAAGUAGCGUGAAGGAUGAAGGUCCUACGGAUUGUAAACUUCUUUUAUAAGGGAAUAAAACCUCCCACGUGUGGGAGCUUGUAUGUACCUUAUGAAUAAGCAUCGGCUAACUCCGUGCCAGCAGCCGCGGUAAUACGGAGGAUGCGAGCGUUAUCCGGAUUUAUUGGGUUUAAAGGGAGCGCAGACGGGUCGUUAAGUCAGCUGUGAAAGUUUGGGGCUCAACCUUAAAAUUGCAGUUGAUACUGGCGUCCUUGAGUGCGGUUGAGGUGUGCGGAAUUCGUGGUGUAGCGGUGAAAUGCUUAGAUAUCACGAAGAACUCCGAUUGCGAAGGCAGCACACUAAGCCGUAACUGACGUUCAUGCUCGAAAGUGUGGGUAUCAAACAGGAUUAGAUACCCUGGUAGUCCACACGGUAAACGAUGGAUACUCGCUGUUGGCGAUAUACAGUCAGCGGCUUAGCGAAAGCGUUAAGUAUCCCACCUGGGGAGUACGCCGGCAACGGUGAAACUCAAAGGAAUUGACGGGGGCCCGCACAAGCGGAGGAACAUGUGGUUUAAUUCGAUGAUACGCGAGGAACCUUACCCGGGCUUAAAUUGCAAAGGAAUGAUCUGGAAACAGGUCAGUCUUCGGACCUUUGUGAAGGUGCUGCAUGGUUGUCGUCAGCUCGUGCCGUGAGGUGUCGGCUUAAGUGCCAUAACGAGCGCAACCCUCGCCGCCAGUUACUAACAGGUAAUGCUGAGGACUCUGGCGGGACUGCCAUCGUAAGAUGUGAGGAAGGUGGGGAUGACGUCAAAUCAGCACGGCCCUUACGUCCGGGGCUACACACGUGUUACAAUGGGCGGUACAGAAGGCAGCUACCUGGCGACAGGAUGCCAAUCCCUAAAGCCGCUCUCAGUUCGGACUGGAGUCUGCAACCCGACUCCACGAAGCUGGAUUCGCUAGUAAUCGCGCAUCAGCCACGGCGCGGUGAAUACGUUCCC